rnacentral:rRNA from 1 species
GACGUAGGGCGCGAGCGUUGUCCGGAUUUAUUGGGCGUAAAGAGCUCGUAGGCGGCUUGUCGCGUCACUGUGAAAAACCCCGAGGCUCAACUUCGGGGCUUGCAGUCGAUACGGGCAGACUAGAGUGUGGUAGGGGGAGACUGGAAUUCCUGGUGUAGCGGUGAAAUGCGCAGAUAUCAGGAGGAACACCGGUGGCGAAGGCGGGUCUCUGGGCAGUAACUACGCUGAGGAGCGAAAAGCGUGGGGGAGCGAACAGG